UACGUAGGGGGCAAGCGUUGUCCGGAAUCAUUGGGCGUAAAGCGCGUGUAGGCGGCUUGGUAAGUCCGCUCUGAAAGCCCGGGGCUCAACCCCGGGAGGCGGGUGGAUACUGUCAAGCUCGAGUCCGGAAGAGGCGAGUGGAAUUCCUGGUGUAGCGGUGAAAUGCGCAGAUAUCAGGAGGAACACCAAUGGCGAAGGCAGCUCGCUGGGACGUGACUGACGCUGAUGCGCGAAAGCUAGGGGAGCAAACAGG
rnacentral:rRNA from 1 species